CCUCAAAUGCCAAUCAGCGUUGUUUACAGUUUACCGCGCUGUCAGUAGGUUAAUUGCAAAUUCGCUCCGCAUAAAAAUUAUAAAAUUCUCGCAAAUCAUUACUAAAACGUUUGAUUAUGGUCGCGUGGAAUAAUUUACGCAAAUUAAGUAGCAUUGCCGUCGGUACCGGCGCCGGCCUGGCUGUUUAUUACUACCAGCGUUUGCGCGAGCCCAGCAACCUGGUGCAGAACUCGUGGACAAACUCCGAUAAGCCAGUUAGUGAAGCAGCAAUCUGGGAUCCGGAUUGGGAUUGUCGUGAUCCGAAAAGUUGUGUGCAUCCACUUAAGAAUGACACACCACAAGAACAAAAUCGCUUCAAUAGCGAGUUAGAGAAAAUGCGCGUAAAAGCUACUCGCCAUAUCGUGCUCGUGCGCCAUGGGCAAUACUUGGAUGUGGGCGUGCACGAUAAGGAUCAUCAUUUGACCGAAUUGGGUCGAUUGCAGGCAAAAUAUACAGGCCAACGCUUGCAUGAGUUGGGCAUUAAAUGGGACAAGAUUAUAGUGUCGACAAUGACGCGCGCGCAGGAGACAUCUGAGAUGAUACUCAAAGAAAUCGACUAUGAUCUGGAAAAAGUGAAGCACUGUCACUAUUUGCGAGAAGGUGCUCCGAUAGCACCGCAACCGCCUGUGGGACACUGGCGGCCCGAGAAGUCUCAGUUCUUCCGGGAUGGUGCACGCAUAGAGGCGGCCUUUAGACGUUACUUUCAUCGGGCCUAUCCAGAACAAGAGCAUGACUCUUACACGCUUAUAAUUGCACAUGCGAAUGUCAUACGCUAUUUUGUAUGCCGGGCAUUACAGAUACCGCCUGAGGCGUGGCUGCGCAUGAAUAUCAAUCAUGGUUCAAUUACUUGGCUCACCAUCAGCCCCUCGGGCAAUGUUUGCAUAAAGCAUUUGGGCGAGAGUGGCUAUAUGCCAGCGAAUUGCCUAUCCAAUCGUAUACCGCGUGAAGUGAAAAAUGUAGUUUAAUUGUCGAAAGCAGAAUUACUAAAUCAUAACUAAAAUAAGCAUAAAAUUAAAAGUCAGUGCAGCUGCUGAGCAAAGAAAAUCAUUGCAGAAAUUUUGAGCUUUGUUAUAUGGCCACAGCAAUAUUGACAUCGUUAAUGCAAGCAAACGCUUUCCAUUUGAACAUACACAUGUAUGUAUGUUUAACUUUUUGAUGACAAACAAUAUUUACAACAAGAACUCAUUAGUGUCUGUAUCAGUGUUUGUGUGUGUACAUAAGUAUGUAUUAUGAAAGUUGUUUAUCUCUAUGAUUAGCUAAAAGGCUAUAUUUGCAAAAUAUAUAAAAAAAUUAGGUAUAAUAAUUAAAAGAAAGCAAAGUCAGGAGUAAAAAAUUGUGGUAAAAAAUUACAUAAAAAUUUAAAAAACCAAUAAAAAUAAUUAAAGUGAAAGGGGUCAUUCCAUGUCAUAAAUUUAGAAAUGCCUUUUAUCCAUAUUUCAGUAGUAACCGCUUGCUAUAUAACUACAUUUCAUUCAUCUAUUGAAAAAUAUUAACAAAUUAGAAAGAAGCUUUAAUUUUUGUCUCGAAACUUUUACUUAAUACCUAAUUAUUUUACACCAGUCACAAUGACCUGUCCUACCAGUCACAAUUUUAGUUAUUUUUAAACAUUUCUAUGAAGAUUAUAUCAGCCAAAUUUUUAAUGAAAGCGAAAGCGUAUAGUUUAUAACAAAAAAUCUGGCUUGAAAAUUAAGUGUUUCGGCUAAAAUUGCUCCUUUGUUCAGGUUCCUACCAGUCACAUUCGUUCAAAUAAUUGUUACAAAUAACUUAGAAAUUGUUUGAUAUUUUUUAAAAGGAAUUUUACACAUUAGUUAUUUAUAUAUAUUUUACAAUAAAUAUAAAUCACAACUGAUAACAUUCUGCAGUCAAAUGUCCCGGAAAUGCGGAAUGGCCCAAAGUUAAACAUAAAAAAGUAAAAACCAAUAAAGAAAUAAAAAAAUAAAAAAAAAGAAUAAAAAAUAAUAUUCAACAAUUUUAUUGGGUUUUAGGUUGUUUAAAUGAAAAAUUAUUGUGCAAAACAACAAUAGCUUACAAAUGUUAGUAUUUAUAGCUGCUAUAUCGGAGAUCACCACAUCUCUUCAGAUUUCUUUAUCGAGUUUUAUGGGAUGAAGAAGUCUCAUGAAGAGACGUGGUGAUCUCCUAAAUAGGAGUUAAAACUUCUAGCGCUUGUAAAGUAUUGUUGUAUUCCACAAUAAUUUUUUUUUUUGAAAAACGGCCCCAAGCUCAAUAAAA